rnacentral:rRNA from 1 species
AUGACCGUGACGCUCCAGGAUAUAGCUAUGAUCACCGGUCUUCCUAUCGAUGGGAAUCCUCUAUGUAUGAGCACCGAUUCUGAUGGGUGGCGCGAGCAGAUGCAUGCCCUUAUCGGUAUGGUUCCUCCGGAGCCUCGGGAACCAGAAGUAGAAGGCAAGAAGAAGGAAAGAGUCGCAACUUUCCUUCCUUCAUGA